AAGUUCCUUUAGCCCUUGUUGUACAGCUGGUUUGGUGGUGUUGAAUUCAUUUAGCUUUUGUUUCUCUGUAAAGCUUUUCAUUUCUCUUAUCAAAUAGAUC